rnacentral:misc_RNA from 1 species
AUAAUUCGGUAAAUUUCUUGUUUCUGAAACUGUGAAUUAUUAUGAAAAUGAAAAUCGAUCACCACCACAAUUUUGCAAUUUCACAAUUUCACAUACACCAAUCACCAUGGUUUCCCUUGGAAUCGCAAACCUAAAUGGAAGGACUUGCAGUCGCAUAGAGCCAUGGACGCACGAAGGGCAGAACCUAGACCAUAAUAAAAAUCAAAAUCUCAACUUUCAAAACCCACUUGCAACAAACUGAAGAAGAAGUAGAAAACAAGAGCAGUGGAGCACUGAUAUGUCGCAAAAGAAGAAGCAGAAAGCCAGGAACACCGAUGUGGCGUCACCCAAAAUGGAUGCUAAAAUGGCAUACAUUAUCUCUAAGGAAGAAGAC